rnacentral:rRNA from 1 species
UAGGGAAUCUUCCACAGUGGGCGAAAGCCUGAUGGAGCAACGCCGCGUGUGUGAUGAAGGGUUUCGGCUCGUAAAACACUGUUGUAAGAGAAGAAUGACAUUGAGAGUAACUGUUCAAUGUGUGACGGUAUCUUACCAGAAAGGAACGGCUAAAUACGUGCCAC